GCCAGAGAAACUGUUCUCAAGAGUGUGAAUUAGGUGGCAGCUACUAUUUUAUGGUACCUCGCUAUCCACUUUGUAAGGGUCUCCGAGAGCAGAGGGAGCACAUCCCCUGACACCUCGCACAUGACAGUUGCUUCAUCAGUGCUGGUUGUGCUCCUGAGAACUCAGCAUGGAGAGAGGCCUAGUCCCCGCUCCCCUGCUCCCAAUUGCUCUGUGACUCAUUCUCACGGCUCGCCCUUCAGGUUCUCGUUCUUGAAUUUCUCCUGCUCCCUCCCACUCCCAGUCCUUUGCCAUGUCUCCCCUGUGCCUGGAACACUUUUUGAUGCAGGUCACCUCCAGGACUCUGCCACUUUCAAGUUGAGUGUUCCAGGUAGGUCACUGAACCCCUCUGAGUUUCAGUGUCUUUAUCUGUAAAGAUAAAAACUAGACAUAACCUUUGGCUGACUGGGAGAGUUGGGAUUGGAUAAGGCAAGUACUGAGUCCAAGGCCUGGCUCUGAGUCCCUGCCCCAGGGACAGCAGCUCCUGUGAUUUUGGUUCAUCAUGGUAGGUCCCUCCUUCUCUCUCUCUUCUUGGGAACUGCCACCAUCCUUUCUGUUCUUUAACCUGCUUCUCCGCCAAUAAAGGCAGAGUGGAACACUCUCUUCCUGGCUCCUAUUUCCUCGCUGCCUCCAAAGACAAGCCUGUCACCUCC
rnacentral:lncRNA from 10 species